GCUUUUAGCCAGCCUGGAUGUUUUUAACACAAUCAUGCAGCUUGCCAGUGAGAUAACUGCAACUGUCAGUUUUUUUCCUACACGGUAGCUUUGACAUGGGAUGUGUCAGAACUCUGCCAGGGCAAUAAGCAGCUGAGUUUGGUGUGUGAAGGAAUUUGGAUGUGGUCUUGUGUACUGUGCACACACAGAAGGGCCCUGAAGCUACAGCAGACAGAGACAGAACUGUCCCCAAUAAAAUAAAAUAAAAUAAAAUAAAAUAAAAUAAAAUAAAAUAAAAUAAAACAAACAUAUAUAGUUUCCACAAAUGGCCAGUUUUCACUGUUUGUUUAAAGAGCUGUGCAGCAACUUAAAACCUAAGGGCAUGAUGUGAAGACAUCACUUACUUCGAGUAUGGACAACAUGUUCACCCCUCAUCAUCAAAGCACUCUUUAAAAAGUGUUUGGUUGGGUCUGUAUUUCUUAAAAUGGCCUAAAUAUGUUUACACAGUAAAUAUAAAAUUAUCUUACUAAAUACAAUGGACAGAUGAGCCAUGCAGUCUGUGUGGCCUCUAGUUUUCCCCGCUUGGAUAUUUUCAUCAUUUAAAUUUAAUGGGGACCUGAGGAACUUCCUUGAAAGUUGACUUGAGGACAGGCAGUGUCUGCAGGCAGCAGGAGUUCGGGCUGAACAGCAGCUGCUAUAAGGAAUGGUGUGGCUGCAGGUUGCUGGUUCUAGACAUACUGUAGACACAGUUAAUGUGAGCAAUCUUCUUGUCCCUAAUAACCUCAACUUCCAGAUCGCUUGUGUUUCUGAGGACUCCAGAAUGCCAAAAUCACAACAGGAUAUCUACUCUUUUAAAGGUCUCCUGCAUUACAACCAAGAUAUCAGACUUCAACGUUUCCCUGAUGGCUUUCCAUUCCCUCAGUCUCCUGCCAAAGAUGACUGUCAUGAGCAUGAGCUACCUGUCUGCAAACAGCUUUUUGUUGGAGUUCAUCCUGUCUCCUCUUGGUGCAUCUAAAAAGGGUUUCUUGGAAGUGAAAAGAUGCUGUCCGAAAAGCUGAAUAAGCAAUAAUCCAGACCCCUGUCAGUUUACAUCCCUUAUGCAACUGAAAUGAUUUUCAUUCAUCUUUUCAACUGUCAUCAAAUACAUAUCCACUGCAGUUGGGCUCAACUCCACCAAUGUAAAUGACUGGGCAUUCACUUUGUUGGAACGACACCAACUUGGAUCUGAGUUGAAAUUUUACUAGUGCAAGGGGGGAUAUGAUCAAAUACCCCAAAAAUGCAAUUGUUGAUGUUACUUUCUACAGAGUUUUGCUACUUUGGAAGUGUUGCAAGAACGUACUCUUAUCUUUUCUACACAGAUUUCAUGUUCAUGAUGCAUAUCUUUGUGCCAUCAAGGUCUGGUGAUUACAAUGCACUGUGCUCACAGCUACUGUACAGGAGGGUUUAAAACAUUUUAGAAUUUCAGCAUCUGUUUUAUACUGAUUUCAG
rnacentral:lncRNA from 1 species